UGGGGAAUAUUGGACAAUGGGCGAAAGCCUGAUCCAGCAAUACCGAGUGAGCGAUGAAGGCCCUAGGGUUGUAAAGCUCUUUUAGCAAGGAAGAUAAUGACGUUACUUGCAGAAAAAGCCCCGGCUAACUCCGUGCCAGCAGCCGCGGUAAGACGGAGGGGGCUAGCGUUGUUCGGAAUUACUGGGCGUAAGGAGUGCGUAGGCGGUUUAGUAAGUUGGAAGUGAAAGCCCGGGGCUUAACCUCGGAAUUGCUUUCAAAACUACUAAUCUAGAGUGUAGUAGGGGAUGAUGGAAUUCCUAGUGUAGAGGUGAAAUUCUUAGAUAUUAGGAGGAACACCGGUGGCGAAGGCGGUCAUCUGGGCUACAACUGACGCUGAUGCACGAAAGCGUGGGGAGCAAACA
rnacentral:rRNA from 1 species